UGUUCACUGCUGACUCAUAUUUAGUUUGUGAUCCACUAUAACUAAGCUUACAUUUUAGUCACGGAUAUUUUUAGUAAAAGUUAUGGACAGGUCACGGGCAGUAAACAAAAAUUCACAGCCCAUGACUUGUCCAUGACUUAUCCUAUAUACCCCUGACUAAAUUUGGGUGCUCGUGGGGAGGGCGAGUGACCCGGGGCCUGGCUGCGCCUCUGCGUAGGAGCCGAGGGAUGUGUUGCCAAUUCCAGGGAGCUGCCCUGAGUUAAAGAGAUCUGCAAGCUCCCUGUGGAUGCUGGCUCAUGUUUUUCCUACAUGACUCGCUACUUCUACAACUCGGUCACUGACAGCUGUGAGGAGUUCGUUUAUGGUGGCUGCGAGGGCAAUGGGAACAGGUUUGCCACUAAAAAUGAAUGUCUCAAGACCUGUGGCAGCCCAGAUACAAAUAUCUGCCAGCUCCCUGUGCAGCCUGGCCCAUGUCAGGCCUACGUGUCCCACUACUUCUACAACUCGGUCACCAAGAAAUGUGAGAAGUUCAGGUACGGUGGCUGCCAGGGCAACAAGAACAGGUUUGCCACUAAAGACGAAUGUCUCGAGACCUGUGUGCGACCAGUUAAUGACGUUUGCAAACUCCUUCUGGACUCUGGCUCAUGUUUUUCCUAUGUGACCCGCUACUUCUACAACUUGGUCACCAAGAAGUGUGAGGCGUUCACUUACGGCGGCUGCGAGGGCAAUGGGAACAGGUUUGCCUCCAUCGACGAAUGUCUCAGGACCUGCGGAAGUGCAGGAAUGACCACGUCAUUUUCUAAGGCCAUUGGGUGACUCAGCAACUGCUUCCCUUCUCCUGUUGUUAAACGGAAUAAACGGCUACCCAGGGAGGUGCCUCUUUGCAGGGAUGAGAGCGUAGCUGUGACGAGCCCUUGGCCCUCCCGCUCGCCACUCUGCAAACGUUGGAAACGCUGUUAGUGUUAUGGCCCCCAAAGGUGCUGGGCGUAGCACAGACUGGAUCUCCCAUCAGCCCAGCAUAAAAACCCGGGUUCUGCCCCAAGACAACCGGAGGGCUCUGCAUUCUGGGAUGCAAUGAUGAUGACGACUGUGCUGGAGCAGAAAAG